UGCUCGUCCCCUAUGACGGCGACAGCAACCACGCCCCCUGCAGGCGGCGCGGGCACCGAGCGCACUGGGCGCUGAUCAUCGGGCUCCUGGUGGCCGUGCCCCCCCAGGCACCGCUGGGACCCCGAGUCCGGAGGGACCCCGAGAUCCCCAACGUCUUCCACGCCCCCCCAAUUGGGGCUGGGGGCUCUCAAAUUGGGUCUGGGGGCUUCCAAAAUGGGUCUGGGGGCUCUCAAAU